rfam:Medicago truncatula strain A17 chromosome 4, whole genome shotgun sequence.
UUUUGGUCCCCUAUGUUUUGCCCCCUUUGCACUUUUGACCCCCUAGGCCAAUUUUGACCAAGUCAAUGUUGACGUGACGUCACAUGUGUAAUUUUUUUAAUUAUUAAAAAAAUACUUUUUUUAUUUUUUUAAAAUUUUUUAAUUAAAAAAUAAAAAAAUUACACAUGUGGUGCCACGUCAGCAUUGACUUGGUCAAAAUUGGCCUAGGGGGCCAAAAGUGCAUAGGGGGCAAAACAUAGGGGGCCAAAA